GUGCUCACUUCAGCAGCACAUAUGCUAAAAUUGGAAUGAUACAGGGAAGAUUAGCAUGGCCCCUGCACAAGGAUAACACGCAAAUUUGUGAAAUGUCCCAUAUUUUU
ensembl:snRNA U6 U6 spliceosomal RNA